GUCCAUGGUCAUAACAUCUCGAAUGCACCCCAUCUCUUCUGAUCUCAGAAGCCCAGCAGGGUCAGGCCUCAUGAGUAGGUGGAUGGGAAGAGAAUAACUCGUCCAAGAUGACCCAUUGAGUAAGUGGCAGAGGAGU
rnacentral:rRNA from 1 species